CCCUGCCUGCCCCUCCAUCUGCCCCAAGCUUCCAUCCCUCUUCUCUUCCUCCCUCCCUCUCUCUUCCCUCCCUUGUUCUUUUGCCUGCUCUUUGGGGAUUUUUCAGGCAGAAGGAUAUGGGGUCAGGGGGAAAAGACCCUCUAUUUUUCUGUGCACUUUCAUUCUUUCAUUACCUCAAAAGCCAUUUCUGAAGCAUCCCUGAGUUAGACUAUGCUUUAAGUAUGUUUCUACAAAUUAGGUAUUUCUGUCCCAUCUUUACAGAUCAGGAAAGAGUUCACCAUCUAGACGGGCCCACUGACUCCAAAGCCACUGUGCCAGGCUGGCCUCCAGACACGGCUCCAAGCUCACUGCUGAGUCCCCUGCCACCUCAGGAAGAAGGCAAAGCCCCUUGUCCUCCCCACCCCAGGGGCGGGCGUGGGCGGUGUUGUCUCCUAAGGAGAACAUGGGGCUCCUCAGGUUCCCAGGAGCAGGCAGCGGUGAUGGGGCCAGAACUCCGCAGACCUGAGUUCCACUGCUGUCGUGUGGAGGACCAGGAAGCCAACCCCAGGAGGAAACCAGCGUUUGCCGGCUGCUGGCUGAGAUUUGACAGCAGAGACAGUCCAGCCACCCAGAAGCUCUGCCAAGGGCCUGUGUGGAGAUUCCCGAGGCCUCUGGCCAAGCCUCACUCCUCCGCUGCUUGGGCUCACUGAUGAGGCCCCGAUCCAGCGGGUCUGCCUUGCAGGAGGCCAGGGAAAUGGACCUGCAGAGACGAAUGGAGCGGCUGACCACACGUGGAAACUGGACAAGCACAGCCUUUCUCUGUCUUUUAAACUGGUGAACAUGCCUUUGAGGAGCCAAGGAGCGUGUUUACGAGAGGGCUUUUCAAGGUGGCUGGCCCACGCCAGGCCGGCACAUAUGCAGUCAAGAAUGCACCACAGCACACUGCCCACAGAGCAUCUCCGUGAUCCUCAGGACGUUCCUGGCGGCGCUGCAACUUGAUAUGUUUUCAGGCGUAUUCAUCUCGGAUCCCAUUUGGCCUGUGAGCGACCAGUGGGCAGGGUCCCAGGUGUGUGCUGAACUCAGGGACCAGCUCCAACGGUGGCGGCCAGGUGUGAACUCCCGAGGGUGCAAAGGUGAGGAGCACAGCAUCCUUGUAAGGUGCUGAGACACAGGAGA